UAAGCAUAUCAAUAAGCGGAGGAAAAGAAACCAACAGGGAUUGCCCUAGUAACGGCGAGUGAAGCGGCAACAGCUCAAAUUUGAAAUCUGGCGCAAGCCCGAGUUGUAAUUUGUAGAGGAUGCUUCUGGGUAGCGACCGGUCUAAGUUCCUUGGAACAGGACGUCAUAGAGGGUGAGAAUCCCGUAUGUGACCGGCCCGCACCCUUUACGUAGCUCCUUCGACGAGUCGAGUUGUUUGGGAAUGCAGCUCUAAAUGGGAGGUAAAUUUCUUCUAAAGCUAAAUACCGGCCAGAGACCGAUAGCGCACAAGUAGAGUGAUCGAAAGAUGAAAAGUACUUUGGAAAGAGAGUUAAAAAGCACGUGAAAUUGUUGAAAGGGAAGCGCCUGCAAUCAGACUUCGCGGCAGUGUUCCGCCGGUCUUCUGACCGGUUUAUUCUCUGUCGCGAGGCCAUCAUCGUCUCGGCCCGCUGGAUAAGACCUUGGGAAUGUAGCUCACCUUCGGGGGAGUGUUAUAGCUCAUGGUGAUGCAGCGAGGCUGGGGCGAGGUCCGCGCUUCGGCAAGGAUGAUGGCGUAAUGGUUGUCGGCGGCCCGUCUUGAAACACGGACCAAGGAGUCUAACAUCUAUGCGAGUGUUCGGGUGUCAAACCCCUACGCGUAAUGAAAGUGAACGGAGGUGGGAACCGCAAGGUGCACCAUCGACCGAUCCUGAUGUCCUCGGAUGGAUUUGAGUAAGAGCAUAGCUGUUGGGACCCGAAAGAUGGUGAACUAUGCCUGAAUAGGGUGAAGCCAGAGGAAACUCUGGUGGAGGCUCGCAGCGGUUCUGACGUGCAAAUCGAUCGUCAAAUUUGGGUAUAGGGGCGAAAGACUAAUCGAACCAUCUAGUAGCUGGUUCCUGCCGAAGU
rnacentral:rRNA from 1 species